GACGAACGCUGGCGGCGUGCCUAAUACAUGCAAGUCGAACGAGAGCGACCGGUGCUUGCACUGGUCAAUCUAGUGGCGAACGGGUGAGUAACACGUGGGUAACCUGCCCAUCAGAGGGGGAUAACAUCCGGAAACGGGUGCUAAAACCGCAUAGGUCUUCGAACCGCAUGGUUUGAAGAGGAAAAGAGGCGCAAGCUUCUGCUGAUGGAUGGACCCGCGGUGCAUUAGCUAGUUGGUGAGGUAACGGCUCACCAAGGCCGUGAUGCAUAGCCGACCUGAGAGGGUGAUCGGCCACAUUGGAACUGAGACACGGCCCAAACUCCUACGGGAGGCAGCAGUAGGGAAUCUUCCGCAAUGGACGCAAGUCUGACGGAGCAACGCCGCGUGAGUGAAGAAGGUUUUCGGAUCGUAAAACUCUGUUGUUAGAGAAGAACAAGUGCUAGAGUAACUGUUAGCGCCUUGACGGUAUCUAACCAGAAAGCCACGGCUAACUACGUG
rnacentral:rRNA from 1 species